CUAUACAUGCAGUCGAGCGAAUGAUGAAGAAGCUUGCUUCUUCUGAUUUAGCGGCGGACGGGUGAGUAACACGUGGGCAACCUACCUAGUAGAUUGGGAUAACUCCGGGAAACCGGGGCUAAUACCGAAUAAUCCAUUUUGUCACAUGGCAAAAUGCUGAAAGGCGGUUUCGGCUGUCACUACUAGAUGGGCCCGCGGUGCAUUAGCUAGUUGGUGGGGUAACGGCCUACCAAGGCAACGAUGCAUAGCCGACCUGAGAGGGUGAUCGGCCACAUUGGGACUGAGACACGGCCCAAACUCCUACGGGAGGCAGCAGUAGGGAAUCUUCCACAAUGGACGAAAGUCUGAUGGAGCAACGCCGCGUGAGUGAUGAAGGUUUUCGGAUCGUAAAACUCUGUUGUAAGGGAAGAACAAGUACGUUAGUAACUGAACGUACCUUGACGGUACCUUAUUAGAAAGCCACGGCUAACUACGUGCCAGCAGCCGCGGUAAUACGUAGGUGGCAAGCGUUGUCCGGAUUUAUUGGGCGUAAAGCGCGCGCAGGUGGUUUCUUAAGUCUGAUGUGAAAGCCCACGGCUCAACCGUGGAGGGUCAUUGGAAACUGGGAGACUUGAGUGCAGAAGAGGAAAGUGGAAUUCCAAGUGUAGCGGUGAAAUGCGUAGAGAUUUGGAGGAACACCAGUGGCGAAGGCGACUUUCUGGUCUGUAACUGACACUGAGGCGCGAAAGCGUGGGGAGCAAACAGGAUUAGAUACCCUGGUAGUCCACGCCGUAAACGAUGAGUGCUAAGUGUUAGGGGGUUUCCGCCCCUUAGUGCUGCAGCUAACGCAUUAAGCACUCCGCCUGGGGAGUACGGCCGCAAGGUUGAAACUCAAAUGAAAUUUGACGGGA
rnacentral:rRNA from 1 species